GCUGUGCUACUCUCAGCUGACUCUCCUAACAAGGUGGGCGGAGCAGUUUGUGCAAUUAACCAAUUUGGCCUUUGGUGGCAGCUUUUAAAAAUCCCCUGGCCUGACAGCGUAGUCUUGCUGCUGGUGUGCUUGUAGAGUGGGCACACGCCUGUGAGGCCACUUUGGCCACACAUGUCUGUGCCACAGGCUAAGCUUUGGCCUUGACGUAGCCAUGGCCGUACCUUCAGGUAGCAUGGCCUUUCCAGCAGUGCUACCAUUGGAGUAGGUUGUGCUGCUGUCUUGUCUUACCGGUUUUGGUUCCUUUUUUUUGUUCUUUUGUCUUGUCUUGUAGUUAAGUUAUCAUGUAUUUUAUUUUAACUAAGUUCAAGUGGUCUGUGGGCUUUGUG